rnacentral:pre_miRNA from 1 species
GAGGUGUGGAAGGAUAGGGUAAGACUAAGGUUAAGGAGAAACUCUGCUUCAUUAAUUCUCUGCUCCAGUCUUCCCUACUCCUCCCAUUCCUU